rnacentral:rRNA from 1 species
CCUACGGGAGGCAGCAGUGAGGAAUAUUGGUCAAUGGCCGUAAGGCUGAACCAGCCAAGUCGCGUGAAGGAAGAAGGAUCUAUGGUUUGUAAACUUCUUUUAUAGGGGAAUAAAGUUAUCCAUGUGUGGAUAUUUGCAUGUACCCUAUGAAUAAGCAUCGGCUAACUCCGUGCCAGCAGCCGCGGUAAUACGGAGGAUCCGAGCGUUAUCCGGAUUUAUUGGGUUUAAAGGGUGCGUAGGCGGGGUGUUAAGUCAGUGGUAAAAAUUCGCGGCUCAACCGCGAAAGGGCAGGUGAAAAUGGCAGCGUUGAGGACAGGAGAGGUAGGCGGAAUUCGUGGUGUAGCGGGGAAAUGCUUAGAGAUCACGAAGAACUCCGAUUGAGAAGGCAGCCUGCGGGACUGGAACGGACGCUGAUGCUCGAAAGUGUGGGUAUCAAACAGGAUGAGAUACCCCAGUAGUC